rnacentral:rRNA from 1 species
AGUCGAGGGGUAUGGUUCUUCGGAACCAGAGACCGGCGCACGGGUGCGUAACGCGUAUGCAAUCUGCCUUUCACAGAGGGAUAGCCCAGAGAAAUUUGGAUUAAUACCUCAUAGUAUUAUGAAGUGGCAUCACUUUAUAAUUAAAGUCACAACGGUGAAAGAUGAGCAUGCGUCCCAUUAGCUAGUUGGUAAGGUAACGGCUUACCAAGGCAACGAUGGGUAGGGGUCCUGAGAGGGAGAUCCCCCACACUGGUACUGAGACACGGACCAGACUCCUACGGGAGGCAGCAGUGAGGAAUAUUGGUCAAUGGGCGCAAGCCUGAACCAGCCACGCCGCGUGCAGGAUGACGGUCCUAUGGAUUGUAAACUGCUUUUGUACGGGAAGAAACACUGAUUCGUGAAUCAGCUUGACGGUACCGUAAGAAUAAGGAUCGGCUAACUCCGUGCCAGCAGCCGCGGUAAU